AGGAAACUUAAGAAAGUUUUUUGAAGCUUGAGAUGAAAAAAAUAAGCUUAUUACCUUACCUUUCCCUUUUUACACUUGUUUACAGGAAAGGCACUGUCAUUUUACAGCUAAGCAAAAUUACACUAGCAUAAUGCCUUGCCCACAAAAGGCACUCAAUAAUUGUUUAAUAAAUUAAUGAUUAUGCAGCUCUUUUUAAAUGAUUUAAAGUACUAUAGCUGUUAACAGUAUUUUCAAAAUAGCCCUCAAAAUCUGCAUUGGUCUUAUAAGUUAUAAACAUGAACCAAUUAGCAGAUGUUAAAUUGCACUGCAUUUUUGAGAUGUCUUAUCCUGGAAUGGAAAUGAGUUCUCCAAGACUGUCAAGUGAGGACCCAUCUCAGCAGGUCCUACGGGGCUAGAAAGAGCUUAGAGGAUGGACUCUGUAUGCGUCCAAUGACAGCAAGAGUCAAUUUCAGAAUCUCAUCACUAGGUCUCCUCUAAUACCAGGGUUUGCUCAUUGCCAAUACAACCGUCUGGACAAACAAAGGAGUAGCAUGAUGCAGCCACUCUGCUCAGCCUCCAUGGGGAGUCCUACGCAUAGUAGACGGAAGGGACUUGGACAUCCACUCCUCUCACGUCUAGUUUACACAAGGAACAAGCUUCCAUCCGGCAACUAUUUCCGUAUGCAUUAACCCAUUCUCUUCCUUCCUGUUUUUCACAUCUUAUGUUGGAUAUCGUAAGCAAACCAUCACCACCACUGACUAUAGAAGGAACAUGCAAGUUGGCCAGCCUAUGGACCAAUUCACCAUAUCUGCGUCUAUAAAAAUAAAAUUAUCUUCUCUGGACA
rnacentral:lncRNA from 1 species